CACUGCCCUAAUUCCAGUAGCCUGGAUACAAUAUAAGGGACGCAGAGAGGUUUGCCUUGUCCCUUGUUGCUUUGUUACCUUUUGACUGCCAUGAACUGUUUUUCCUCUGUGAUGCCCUCUGCUAUGCCACCCUACCUUGGAGCCAGGUGAUUAUGGACUGAAACCUCUACAAACUGCCCGGACCUCAUAGACUGAACUAUGAACAGCCACUCAACUGGAAAACCUAAAUGCAAUGGGAGGAAUUGGACACCAGGCAGGGGCCAACUGGUGACACUUGACCACCAAAGACAAGGUGGGUAUAGUUACUGUCAUGGCAGCAGAGUCAAAGCUGCAAUCAGAAUUGUCUGUCACCUCCCCUUAGCAAGAAUGGCUCUUAUCAAAAAGGCAAAAGAUCCUAGGUGCUGGUGAGGAUAUGGAGAAAAGAAGCCUUUGCGUACUGUUGGUGGGAAUGUAAAUUAGUGUUGUCAUUAUGGAAAACUAUGAAAGAAAAAAAUUGAAAACAGAACUGCUGCAUGAUCCAGCAAUCUUACUCCUGGGUAUAUAUCCAAUGGAGAUGAAAUCAGUAUGUUGAAGAGACAUCUGCACACCUGUGUGCAUAGUGCCCUAGCCACUCAGCACGCUGUGUGGGGAGCGUCACUGGAGUCGAAAAGGACAGGGCCAGCCUGCACCACAAGUGAGGCCUAGUCUCACAAAAUAAAACAGAAAACAAAACAAAACAAAAACAGCAACAACAAUACAACCAAAAAAUCCACGUUAUACAGUGUGUACAUGUAUCAAAACAUCAAGUUGCCUCAUUAAUAUGUACAGUGAUUUUGACUGCAUGGAUCAGUUAAAAAAUAAAACGAAUUUAAAAAUUAGCCUGACUCCUGCAGACCUAUAUGGUCUAGUGGAUGUAACUGGAUCUUGGAGGCAACUUCCUCAUCUGGGUGUGUUACUCUGCCCCAUUCACCAAGAGACUGGAAAAGCUUCUAGCCUUGUGUGGGGCUCAAAACAAGAAAAGGCUCUGCCACAGGUCCCUCCUUGGCACUUUCCCCAUGUUGGGAGGCACUGGAGUGACCUUAGAUAUUUUGGGGAUCUGGCUGAGGGGAAGUUGAAUUUAGGAUACAUUUAGUUGGGAUUUAGAAGAGUAUAUUUGUGUAGUUUACAACCCUUUUUGUGUUUAAUUAUGUUAUUGCCAGUUAUCCUGGCAUGGGAAUGCUUCUGCAACCUCUAAAACAGUAACCUAUUAAUGAAUGCCAACCAUGCACAAUAUUUAGGGUUUGUUGUUACACAAGAGAUCUUGAAAUACCUUGAAAAUUUACACCUUAUACAUAAAGGAAAUUUGAUGAGGGUUGCCCAAAUUUGACAACUAUCCUAAAAAUUUUAUUUGAUGUUACUAAAACAUUGAGG
ensembl:lncRNA